UACGUAGGGCGCAAGCGUUGUCCGGAAUUAUUGGGCGUAAAGAGCUCGUAGGCGGUCUGUUACGUCCGCUGUGAAAACCCAGGGCUUAACCCUGGGCUUGCAGUGGAUACGGGUAGACUAGAGGCAGGUAGGGGAUACUGGAAUUCCUGGUGUAGCGGUGAAAUGCGUAGAUAUCAGGAGGAAUACCUAUGGCGAAAGCAGGUAUCUGGGCCAUCACUGACGCUGAGCUGCGAAAGCUAGGGGAGCAAACAGG
rnacentral:rRNA from 1 species